rnacentral:misc_RNA from 1 species
UUUCACUGGCAUUUGAUUGGGCAUCAUUGUACAUCUUUUCCGGAUCCAAAAUAUGCCCAGUCAUUGGAUCAACUGGACGUGUGUCACGAGGUCCACCUUUACGCCCCAUUGCUACCAUUGGUAGAGGAGGUAGUAAUCCUGCUCUGAAAAGAAUGCGUUGGACAGGGUCUGAAGGCUGAGCACCGACUGAUAACCAAUACUUCACUCUCUCGAAAUUAAGACCCAUCCGUUUGCCUCCGUCUUGACCUGGAAGGGGAUUGUAGUAACC